AGCAGCCGCGGUAAUUCCAGCUCCAAUAGCGUAUAUUAAAGUUGUUGCAGUUAAAAAGCUCGUAGUUGAAUUUCGAGACCGGCUUACUGGUCGUGCUAUUGUACGUACUGGUAUAAUCGGUUUCUCCCUCUUGACGAGCCGUAAUGCCAUUAAUUUGGUGUUGCGGGGAAUCAGGACUGUUACUUUGAAAAAAU
rnacentral:rRNA from 1 species